rnacentral:rRNA from 1 species
UACAGGGGGGGCAAGCGUUGUUCGGAAUUACUGGGCGUAAAGGGCUCGUAGGUGGCCAACUAAGUCAGACGCGAAAUCCCUCAGCUUAACUGGGGAACUGCGUCUGAUACUGGAUGGCUUGAGUUUGGGAGAGGGAUGCGGAAUUCCAGGUGUAGCGGUGAAAUGCGUAGAUAUCUGGAGGAACACCGGUGGCGAAGGCGGCAUCCUGGACCAACACUGACACUGAGGAGCGAAAGCCAGGGGAGCAAACGGG